UGGGGAAUUGUUCACAAUGGGCGCAAGCCUGAUGACGCAACGCCGCGUGGGGGAUGAAGGUCUUCGGAUCGUAAACCCCUGUCGAAUGGGACGAAAGACUCGCGAGUGAAUACUUCGCGAGAGUGACGGUACCGUUAAAGGAAGCCACGGCUAACUCUGUGCCAGCAGCCGCGGUAAUACAGAGGUGGCAAGCGUUGUUCGGAAUUACUGGGCGUAAAGGGCGCGUAGGCGGCCCUCUAAGUCAGACGUGAAAUCCCCCGGCUUAACCUGGGAACUGCGUCUGAUACUGGAGGGCUUGAGUAUGGGAGAGGGAUGUAGAAUUCCAGGUGUAGCGGUGAAAUGCGUAGAUAUCUGGAGGAAUACCGGUGGCGAAGGCGGCAUCCUGGACUAUUACUGACGCUGAGGCGCGAAAGCUAGGGGAGCAAACGGGAUUAGAUACCCCCGUAGUCCCUGAGCGGGCUGGCAAGGCGCAU
rnacentral:rRNA from 1 species